UUGAUCUCUACCACCAACAACAAAGCUGCCUUACUCAUAGCGACAAUGAACAAUCUUAGGGUUUUCUUCUUCGCUCUCCUCCUGCUCGCUUCUCCUCUCCUUGAAGUGACUAGGUGUCAGUCAGAUUCUGAAGAGGAAGUCACAGAGGCUGCUGAAGAAGUCAGUGACCUUGGGAUUGUUGGCGAGGAUGCCCAAUAUUUUGGUGAUGGGAGUUUUAGCCCUGCUCCUGGAGUUGAUACAGUCUGUGUUUUCCCCAAAAACAGUGCACGGUUGGCGCCAGCUGGUGAAGAUGCUGAACUACUUGUUGGACUCAAGAAUGACGGGGAGUCAAGCAUAAAUGUCAUUGCUAUUAAGGCUAGUGUUCAUCUUCCUUUUGAUCAUCGUCUGCUGGUUCAAAAUCUCACUGCUCAGG
rnacentral:misc_RNA from 1 species